AACGAACGCUGGCGGCAGGCUUAACACAUGCAAGUCGAGCGCCCCGCAAGGGGAGCGGCAGACGGGUGAGUAACGCGUGGGAAUCUACCCAUCUCUACGGAGUAACGCAUGGAAACGUGUGCUAAUACCGUAUACGUCCUUCGGGAGAAAGAUUUAUCGGAGAUGGAUGAGCCCGCGUUGGAUUAGCUAGUUGGUGGGGUAAAGGCCAACCAAGGCGACGAUCCAUAGCUGGUCUGAGAGGAUGAUCAGCCACACUGGGACUGAGACACGGCCCAGACUCCUACGGGAGGCAGCAGUGGGGAAUAUUGGACAAUGGGCGCAAGCCUGAUCCAGCCAUGCCGCGUGAGUGAUGAAGGCCCUAGGGUUGUAAAGCUCUUUCACCGGUGAAGAUAAUGACGGUAACCGGAGAAGAAGCCCCGGCUAACUUCGUGCCAGCCGCCGCAGUAAAAC
rnacentral:rRNA from 1 species